UUCUCUGUAGGAAAUUUGCUGUAUACACAAAAGCUUUUGUGGCUGGACCUCCAAAAAUCAUUGAUAAUGUCAUAUCUAGCUCAUCUCCUAGUAUGAGGAAGAUCAAUCCCAAAGAGAAAACCCCAUCAAGAAGGUCAAGGAUUUAGCUGUGGAACAAAAUAACCAUGAACUCUACGCGUUCACUACCAAAGGAAAGUGAGGAAGAUAAAGCGACUCAAAAUAUCAUAUAUGCCCUAAAUCCCUGCCACUAGGAAAAAGUUAGUCACUUUACAAGAGACCUAGGAGGGCGGAGAAUAUAUGUUCAGCAAGCACUCAGGGAUGCAAGCAUGGACUUUGAACUGCCAAAGGAAAUCAAAGAUGAAGCUUGCUAAGCUAGUAGCCAGCCAGUGUUUUAAAGUUCUAAGCAUGGAGAAUGUUGGUCUGCUGCAGCCAAUAUUGUCCAUUGUGGCCUCAUGUACUUUAUUUUUUCGUUAUCAUCAGGCUUACGUGGAAGGUUUGCAUCAGUAGUGUCUUGUGGCCUAGUGAAUACCGAUUUAUGUUUUCCACUGUGCAUAUUCAGGUUGCUGUUUUCUAGUUCCAACAUGAAUGUUGCUGGUUGAAAGAUGUUGGCCUCUUCACAAUCAUUGCUGGUGUGAGUUUACUCAGUACAAGUAAUCAAUUUCAAGAAAAGCCAAGAAAUCCCCCCGGAUCCCCCUUUUAGGAUUUAAACUAGAACUCAAAUUCUAGUAUGUGGCGAAUCAUAUUUUGUACUUGAGCAAAUUUUAACUCAUGGAUGCACUUUUGAGAAAUACCUACGAAAGAAACUCCUUCACCAUUUCAUAGUGGCAUUAGAGCUUGCAUAUCACAUCACAUGGUGAAACAUGAAAGGCGAGGUAGGUGCUUGUCCAAGUUCUCAGGUUUUGUGGUGAGAUUAUAUUUUUUCCUAGAGAAUUAAUAUUCUUGUAUUUUCCAAAUUUGUUGUGUAUUCAAAGUUGUAAGCAUAAACUUAAGUACUGUAAUCUCUAUUUUCCUUAUAGUGGAUUGAUCGGGUUUGUCCCGUGGUUUUUCCCUAUACAUUAGAGGGUUUUCCACGUAAAAUUUGGUGUGUAUUUUGAGAUUGAUUGCUUGCAUGAUAACUUGAUCAAUUACAACCAAUCUUACAAAACGCAACAAAUUUUCCUAUCAUCAUUGAUUAGUACAUCAAUCAACAA